CCUACGGUAGGCAGCAGUGAGGGAUAUUGGUCAAUGGGGGAAACCCUGAACCAGCAACGCCGCGUGAGGGAAGACGGUUUUCGGAUUGUAAACCUCUGUCCUCUGUGAAGAUAAUGACGGUAGCAGAGGAGGAAGCUCCGGCUAACUACGUGCCAGCAGCCGCGGUAAUACGUAGGGAGCAAGCGUUGUCCGGAUUUACUGGGUGUAAAGGGUGCGUAGGCGGCCCUGCAAGUCAGAAGUGAAAUCCAUGGGCUUAACCCGUGAACUGCUUUUGAAACUGUAGGGCUUGAGUGAAGUAGAGGCAGACGGAAUUCCUAGUGUAGCGGUGAAAUGCGUAGAUAUUAGGAGGAACACCAGUGGCGAAGGCGGUCUGCUGGACAGCAACUGACGCUGAGGCGCGAAAGCGUGGGGAGCAAACAGGAUUAGAUACCCUGGUAGUC
rnacentral:rRNA from 1 species